rnacentral:tRNA from 1 species
GGCGGAAUAGCGAAGCGGCCAAACGCAACGGAUUGCAAACCCGUUCUGAUUAUUCAGUUCGUUGGUUCGAAUCCGACUUCCGUCU